rnacentral:rRNA from 2 species
AGCCGACCUUGAAAUACCACCCUUUAAUGUUUGAUGUUCUAACGUGGACCCGUGAUCCGGGUUGCGGACAGUGUCUGGUGGGUAGUUUGACUGGGGCGGUCUCCUCCUAAAGAGUAACGGAGGAGCACGAAGGUUGGCUAAUCCUGGUCGGACAUCAGGAGGUUAGUGCAAUGGCAUAAGCCAGCUUGACUGCGAGCGUGACGGCGCGAGCAGGUGCGAAAGCAGGUCAUAGUGAUCCGGUGGUUCUGAAUGGAAGGGCCAUCGCUCAACGGAUAAAAGGUACUCCGGGGAUAACAGGCUGAUACCGCCCAAGAGUUCAUAUCGACGGCGGUGUUUGGCACCUCGAUGUCGGCUCAUCACAUCCUGGGGCUGAAGUAGGUCCCAAGGGUAUGGCUGUUCGCCAUUUAAAGUGGUACGCGAGCUGGGUUUAGAACGUCGUGAGACAGUUCGGUCCCUAUCUGCCGUGGGCGCUGGAGAACUGAGGGGGGCUGCUCCUAGUACGAGAGGACCGGAGUGGACGCAUCACUGGUGUUCGGGUUGUCAUGCCAAUGGCACUGCCCGGUAGCUAAAUGCGGAAGAGA